rnacentral:rRNA from 1 species
UUAAAUGAGAGUUUGAUCCUGGCUCAGGACGAACGCUGGCGGCGUGCCUAAUACAUGCAAGUCGAGCGAUGAUUGAAGAUAGCUUGCUAUUUUCAUGAAGAGCGGCGAACGGGUGAGUAACGCGUGGGAAAUCUGCCGAGUAGCGGGGGACAACGUUUGGAAACGAACGCUAAUACCGCAUAACAAUGAGAAUCGCAUGAUUCUUAUUUGAAAGAAGCAAUUGCUUCACUACUUGAUGAUCCCGCGUUGUAUUAGCUAGUUGGUAGUGUAAAGGACUACCAAGGCGAUGAUACAUAGCCGACCUGAGAGGGUGAUCGGCCACACUGGGACUGAGACACGGCCCAGACUCCUACGGGAGGCAGCAGUAGGGAAUCUUCGGCAAUGGGGGCAACCCUGACCGAGCAACGCCGCGUGAGUGAAGAAGGUUUUCGGAUCGUAAAACUCUGUUGUUAGAGAAGAACGUUAAGUAGAGUGGAAAAUUACUUAAGUGACGGUAUCUAACCAGAAAGGGACGGCUAACUACGUGCCAGCAGCCGCGGUAAUACGUAGGUCCCAAGCGUUGUCCGGAUUUAUUGGGCGUAAAGCGAGCGCAGGUGGUUUCUUAAGUCUGAUGUAAAAGGCAGUGGCUCAACCAUUGUGUGCAUUGGAAACUGGGAGACUUGAGUGCAGGAGAGGAGAGUGGAAUUCCAUGUGUAGCGGUGAAAUGCGUAGAUAUAUGGAGGAACACCGGAGGCGAAAGCGGCUCUCUGGCCUGUAACUGACACUGAGGCUCGAAAGCGUGGGGAG